rnacentral:rRNA from 1 species
AGCAGCCGCGGUAAUUCCAGCUCCAAUAGCGUAUAUUAAAGUUGUUGCAGUUAAAAAGCUCGUAGUUGAAUUUCGAGAUCAAUUUGUUGGUCGUGCCUCGGUACGUACUGGCAAUUUUGAUUUCUCCCUUCUGAAGAACCAUGAUGUCAUUAAUUUGGUGUCAUGGGGAAUCAGGACCGUUACUUUGAAAAAAUUAGAGUGUUUAAAGCAGGCUCGCGCUUGAAUACAUUAGCAUGGAAUAAUGAAAUAGGACGUUUGAUUCUAUUUUGUUGGUUUCUAGGAUCGACGUAAUGAUUAAUAGGGAUAGUUGGGGGCAUUAGUAUUCAAUUGUCAGAGGUGAAAUUCUUGGAUUUAUUGAAGACUAACUACUGCGAAAGCAUUCGCCAAGGAUGUUUUCAUUAAUCAAGAACGAAAGUUAGGGGAUCGAAGACGAUCAGAUACCGUCGUAGUCUUAACCAUAAACUAUGCCGACUAGGGAUCGGAUGAUGUAAUUUUUUAAUGUAC